CGAACGCUGGCGGCGUGCUUAACACAUGCAAGUCGAACGGAAAGGCCCUGCUUUUGUGGGGUGCUCGAGUGGCGAACGGGUGAGUAACACGUGAGUAACCUGCCCUUGACUUUGGGAUAACUUCAGGAAACUGGGGCUAAUACCGGAUAGGAGCUCCUGCUGCAUGGUGGGGGUUGGAAAGUUUCGGCGGUUGGGGAUGGACUCGCGGCUUAUCAGCUUGUUGGUGGGGUAGUGGCUUACCAAGGCUUUGACGGGUAGCCGGCCUGAGAGGGUGACCGGCCACAUUGGGACUGAGAUACGGCCCAGACUCCUACGGGAGGCAGCAGUGGGGAAUAUUGCACAAUGGGCGGAAGCCUGAUGCAGCAACGCCGCGUGCGGGAUGACGGCCUUCGGGUUGUAAACCGCUUUCGCCUGUGACGAAGCGUGAGUGACGGUAAUGGGUAAAGAAGCACCGGCUAACUACGUGCCAGCAGCCGCGGUGAUACGUAGGGUGCGAGCGUUGUCCGGAUUUAUUGGGCGUAAAGGGCUCGUAGGUGGUUGAUCGCGUCGGAAGUGUAAUCUUGGGGCUUAACCCUGAGCGUGCUUUCGAUACGGGUUGACUUGAGGAAGGUAGGGGAGAAUGGAAUUCCUGGUGGAGCGGUGGAAUGCGCAGAUAUCAGGAGGAACACCAGUGGCGAAGGCGGUUCUCUGGGCCUUUCCUGACCCUGAGGAGCGAAAGCGUGGGGGAGCGAACAGGCUUAGAUACCCUGGUAGUCCACGCUGUAAACGGUGGGUACUAGGUGUGGGGGUCCAUUCCACGGGUUCCGUGCCGUAGCUAACGCUUUAAGUACCCCGCCUGGGGAGUACGGCCGCAAGGCUAAAACUCAAAGGAAUUGACGGGGCCCCGCACAAGCGGCGGAGCAUGCGGAUUAAUUCGAUGCAACGCGUAGAACCUUACCUGGGUUUGACAUGGAUCGGGAGUGCUCAGAGAUGGGUGUGCCUCUUUUGGGGUCGGUUCACAGGUGGUGCAUGGCUGUCGUCAGCUCGUGUCGUGAGAUGUUGGGUUAAGUCCCGCAACGAGCGCAACCCUUGUUCACUGUUGCCAGCACGUUAUGGUGGGGACUCAGUGGAGACCGCCGGGGUCAACUCGGAGGAAGGUGGGGAUGACGUCAAGUCAUCAUGCCCCUUAUGUCCAGGGCUUCACGCAUGCUACAAUGGCUGGUACAGAGAGUGGCGAGCCUGUGAGGGUGAGCGAAUCUCGGAAAGCCGGUCUCAGUUCGGAUUGGGGUCUGCAACUCGACCCCAUGAAGUCGGAGUCGCUAGUAAUCGCAGAUCAGCAACGCUGCGGUGAAUACGUUCCCGGGGCUUGUACACACCGCCCGUCAAGUCAUGAAAGUUGGUAACACCCGAAGCCGGUGGCCUAACCGUUGUGGGGGAGCCGUCGAAGGUGGGACUGGUGAUUAG
rnacentral:rRNA from 1 species